UACGAAGGGGGCGAGCGUUGUUCGGAAUUACUGGGCGUAAAGGGCGCGUAGGCGGCCGGACAAGUGGAAGGUGAAAUCCCCGAGCUCAACUCGGGAACUGCCCUCCAAACUGUUUGGCUUGAGUCCGGGAGAGGUGAGUGGAAUUCCCAGUGUAGCGGUGAAAUGCGUAGAUAUUGGGAGGAACACCAGUGGCGAAGGCGGCUCACUGGACCGGAACUGACGCUGAGGCGCGAAAGCGUGGGGAGCAAACAGG
rnacentral:rRNA from 1 species